CACGUAGGGCGCAAGCGUUUGUCCGGAAUUAUUGGGCGUAAAGAGCUCGUAGGCGGUCUGUUACGUCUGCUGUGAAAACCCGGGGCUUAACCCUCGGGCUGCAGUGGAUACGGGCAGACUAGAGGCAGGUAGGGGAGAAUGGAAUUCCCGGUGUAGCGGUGAAAUGCGCAGAGAUCGGGAAGAACACCCGUGGCGAAGGCGACGUGCUGGGCUGAACCUGACGCUGAGAUGCGAAAGUGUGGGGAGCAAACGGG
rnacentral:rRNA from 1 species